AGUGAACGCUGGCGAUAGGCCUAACACAUGCAAGUCGAACGGCAGCACAGUAAGAGCUUGCUCUUACGGGUGGCGAGUGGCGGACGGGUGAGGAAUACAUCGGAAUCUACUUUUUCGUGGGGGAUAACGUAGGGAAACUUACGCUAAUACCGCAUACGACCUACGGGUGAAAGCAGGGGAUCUUCGGACCUUGCGCGAUUGAAUGAGCCGAUGUCGGAUUAGCUAGUUGGCGGGGUAAAGGCCCACCAAGGCGACGAUCCGUAGCUGGUCUGAGAGGAUGAUCAGCCACACUGGAACUGAGACACGGUCCAGACUCCUACGGGAGGCAGCAGUGGGGAAUAUUGGACAAUGGGCGCAAGCCUGAUCCAGCCAUACCGCGUGGGUGAAGAAGGCCUUCGGGUUAAAGCCCUUUUGUUGGGAAAGAAAAGCAGCAGGUUAAUACCCCGCUGUUCUGACGGUACCCAAAGAAUAAGCACCGGCUAACUUCGUG
rnacentral:rRNA from 1 species